UAACAACUCUUCAACAACGGGAAAGGAAUUUAUAGCACAAAAAUAGAAAAUGCUCAAAGAACUCCACCAGUCAAGCAGCAGCAAAUGGUAAAUGAAACCAGUUAACAUUUUGGGUCAAGGACCCUUCCUCAGAACUGAGUGCUGUUCAAGACCAGAGGCAAAGUAUGCAUAGAGGGUGAGGAGUAAGAGGUGCAGAGGAAAUCCGAACAAGAAAUUUUUUCCACCCAGAGGGUGGUUGGAAGCUGGAACACUGGUUGACGGUGGAGGCGGCAGGUGCAUUCACAACAUUUAAGCAGCAUCUGGAUGAGCACUUGAAUUGCCAAGAUACCACCUGAUCAGUCCAGAUGAAGGGUCUUGACCAGAAAAGUCAACUGUCCAUUUACCAAAAUAGAUGCUGCCUGACCUGCUGAGUUGCUCCUGUUGCUGCCUGAUCUGCUCAGUGUUUUCAGUAUUUUCAGUUUUAUUUCAAAUUUCCAGCAACUGCAGUUUUUUUUUUGAUUUACAGUUCUGUAUCAGAUCAAUUCAAAAUAAUCCCACUGACCCCAGACUCUCUCUAAUAACCCUGUAGGCUGUGCAUCAAAUAUUUCUCCAUUUCCUCCUCAGAAAUUACAAUACUUUGUCUCCAUCUGUGAGAAUGACCAUGUCCAGCAACCCUUUGCCAUAAAACUCCUAAAUUCCCUCAAUUAUAACUUACAGUUAAUCCUUUAUUACCUAUUAAAGACUCGGUCAUUCUCCUUUCAUCAUCAGAAUGAUACAAAAACUUUACUUUGUUUUCUCACUUUUAGUGGACAGAUCCCAAUGCCUCAAGUCAUCUCCUUGUUCUACCCUACAUGAACUUGAAGCUGGACAAAACUCUCCUCCUCUUAGUCCAAAUAAAACCAAGACACAUUCUUCCAUCAGCUAUGUGCCUGCCUUGUUUCUGGUUCAUUUUAGAAGUCAUCUUGUUUUCAAAUCCCUCCAUGGCCUUGCUGCUCUUUAAUUUCAUCCUGAGAUCGGACACACAGUUGAGGCAUCAAGGAAACCAGUAAUUUCUCCACCACUGAUGAUCAUGCCAGAAGUCAAGGCUUUAAGCUCUGGAAUUCUUCCCUAGCCUUUCUUUAGAACCCACCUCCUUUGAUCACCUGCCCUAACACCUUGCUUGGAAGAUUUGAAAUUGGACUCUGUUUGAUAACCCACCUGCAAAAAGGGUUUUGGUGGGUUUUUUUUUGCACUUAUCCAUGAGUGUUGGUAUCUAUUUUAUGGAUAUGGUCGUUAGAAAGCAACAUCUGAGAAUUUAAGA